UCGGUGAUCUGGGACUGCCUGCUUGCGUGGCGGCUCUGGGUAGGAGUGUUGGCACAGGGGCGGUGGGUGGUGGGCAUUACUGUCGGGCGUGGGUGGUCUCCUCUGCAUCUGCAGGGCGUGAGGCUGUGGGUUUGUGGUGUGUGGCCUCAGCAGAUGUGUUGGGGAGGCUUCAUGCUCUGUGAGUAACAACAAUUCUGUCAGUUAUUGCCACCUUACUAUGCGCUUUACAUGCCUUAGUUCACUUGAUCAUCUCAGUGAGUUUUCCUCAUUGUUUCAUUUAUAGAUGAGGAAGGUGAGACACAGAGAGGUCAAGUAACUCUCUUGAUGUCACACAGCUGCUUUAAAUCCAGGCCGUCUGACACCAGGACAGACAAUAUCUGAGCCACGUUGUGGGGCAGGAAGGAGCCGGUCUGGGGAAGAGGAACCCGCUACAUCCAUGUCCACUUUGGUGUCCUGAGGUAGCAGGUCUGGAAUGAGGGUAGCUUUUCCCGCCCGUCUCCCUGCACAGCAGCAUGGCAGCUUGCAGCAGGAGCAUUAGGCGAAGAAACAGAAACCCACUAGCAGCUGCUGAGACAG